AGAUGUAUAGCUCAGUGGUAGAGCACUUACCUCCCACGUGAGAGGUCCUGGGUUUAAUCCCCAGUAUUGCAA
rnacentral:tRNA from 1 species